GAGGGUAUAGCUCAGUGGUAGAGCGCAUGCUUAGCAUGCGUGAGGUCCUGGGUUCAAUCCCAGUACCUCCU
rnacentral:tRNA from 1 species